UACGGGGGGGGCAAGCGUUGUUCGGAAUUACUGGGCGUAAAGGGCUCGUAGGCGGCCAACUAAGUCAGACGUGAAAUCCCUCGGCUUAACCGGGGAACUGCGUCUGAUACUGGAUGGCUUGAGUUUGGGAGAGGGAUGCGGAAUUCCUGGUGUAGAGGUGAAAUUCGUAGAUAUCAGGAAGAACACCCGUGGCGAAGGCGGUUCUCUGGGACGGUACUGACGCUGAGACGCGAAAGCGUGGGGAGCGAACAGG
rnacentral:rRNA from 1 species